AUGGUAACUUGGAGCUAGUUCAACUUACUAUUGACUGUAAACACAACCUACCUCUACCUACCUCUAGUGAUGGUUAGAAAGUAUUUUAGCAACUACUGGAGAGAUAUCGCGCGGGAAGUCCAGGAUUAGCAUUAUCCAGAGCUUUUGGUGACAAUUUCAUUAAGGAAUUCAUAUUGGUUUAUUAAUAGUUGCUCAAUUCUGGAUAUGUCAGAUUAGCUGUAGA
rnacentral:lncRNA from 1 species